rnacentral:rRNA from 1 species
UACGUAGGGUGCGAGCGUUGUCCGGAAUUAUUGGGCGUAAAGAGCUCGUAGGCGGCUUGUCGCGUCGAAUGUGAAAACUUGGGGCUCAACCCUAAGCCUGCAUUCGAUACGGGCAGGCUAGAGUUCGGUAGGGGAGACUGGAAUUCCUGGUGGUAGCGGUGAAAAUGCGCAGAUAAUCAGGAGGAACACCGGUGGCGAAGGCGGGUC